rnacentral:misc_RNA from 1 species
ACGAGUUGCAAACUCCCAAACCCUCGUGAACGAUACCAGGUUUGUUGCUUCGGCGGUGCCUCGCUCUCGUGCGAGGCCGCAGAGGACGCUAACAGACUCUUGAGUUUGAUCUAGGAUUUACUUCUGAGUGAUUAUAAAUAAGUCA